AUGCGCGGGACCCAUUUGUCCGCCGCAGGUGCGAGGAACACGUACGCUCUCACGUGGAAGCUGAACCAUGGAUCCCGCGCAUAAAGCGCGGGAUGACGGGUUUUGUAUGGGGGGAGGUUUUCCCUACCCCCCGAUCAGCCCAAAAUCCGCCACCUGGCCCAUGGCAUCGCGCACCGUCGCCAGCGUGCGCAGGCGGUUGUCGCGGUGUUCGGGCUCGUUGACGAAGACGCCGUCGAGAUAGGCGUCGACCGGGCCGCGCAGUUCGGCCAGCUGGGUCAUGGCGCCGGUGAAGUCUUCCUUGGCCAGAGCGUCCUUCAGCGGUUUGUCCAGCAGACGCAGGGCGUUGUAGAGGCCCACCUCGGCGGCGCUGU
rnacentral:sRNA from 1 species